rnacentral:rRNA from 1 species
CUGGCGGCGUGCUUAACACAUGCAAGUCGAGCGGAAAGGCCCUUUCGGGGGUACUCGAGCGGCGAACGGGUGAGUAACACGUGAGUAAUCUGCCCUUGGCUUUGGGAUAACUACCGGAAACGGCGGCUAAUACCGGAUAUGACCAUGCUCGGCAUCGGGUGUGGUGGAAAGUUUUUUCGGCCAGGGAUGUGCUCGCGGCUUAUCAGCUUGUUGGUGGGGUAAUGGCCUACCAAGGCUUCGACGGGUAGCCGGCCUGAGAGGGUGACCGGCCACACUGGGACUGAGACACGGCCCAGACUCCUACGGGAGGCAGCAGUGGGGAAUAUUGGACAAUGGGCGGAAGCCUGAUCCAGCAACGCCGCGUGAGGGAUGACGGCCUUCGGGUUGUAAACCUCUUUCAGUACCGACGAAGCGCCGAUGAUGGUGGUGACGGUAGGUACAGAAGAAGCACCGGCCAACUACGUG